UAAGCGGAGGACUAACAGGAUUCCCCUAGUAACGGCGAGUGAAGCGGGAUGAGCUCAAGCCAUACAAUUUUUGUAUGGCGAAUUGUAGCCUAUAGAAACGUGGUAAGUGUAGGCACUUGGGGUAAGUUCCUUGGAAAAGGACAGCAUGGAGGGUGAUACUCCCGUUUAUCUCUAAGUUGCUUAUACGUACGACCCGUUUUCUUUGAGUCGCGUUGUUUGAGAAUGCAGCGCAAAGUAGGUGGUAAAUUCCAUCUAAAGCUAAAUAUUGGUGCGAGACCGAAAGCACACAAUUACCGUGAGGGAAAGAUGAAAAGAACUUUGAAAAUAGAGUUAAAGAGUACCUGAAACUGCUGAAAGGGAACCAAAUCGUUUCCAGUGUCUAUAAUCCGUGGUAUAUCACAUCGGCGAGCGUGUGCGUGUGUGUGCUGUUGUAGUGGCCUUUUGGUUACGCUCGGCGUAUGUGCUGUAUAUGCUUGCUGGUGCCCUGUACUGCGGUGGGACGUCAAGGUCAGUUCGUAUGCUGCGGGAAAUGACUACCAAGGAGGUAGGGCUUACGCUUG
rnacentral:rRNA from 1 species